CCAACAUCUUCAGUAAGUUUAGACUUUAAAAAAAUGCUUUGUCCACCAUUAGAAAGCUGAUUGGGGGUUCAGACCAAACAUUCCUCUUACAUCCUCGUUUGUUCCCUCUCAUUUUUGUCUAGUUUCCCCUAUUCUUACAUGAGUAGAAAUUUGGUUAUAUAGAGCUGUUUGCCUUUCCUGCUUUUUUUUGCCCAUUACAGUUUUCUGUAUUUAACAGCCCUUCUCGUUCUACUCCAAAUAAAAUUUUGUAUUUUUUACUUGGGACUACAGAAAUAAUGUAUUGGCAUCCUCUCUUAUCCAGUAGAUUUUGGCAUGCCCAAAUCUGGAAGUGAAAAAAGCAACAACAACAAAAAAAACAGAGCAGCAAGGAAAAUCGGUAAGCUUUACCCUGCAGCAAAAAUAUCAAUCUGUUCUUAAGGAAUUAAGUGCUUCACAAAGGUGAGUUCUCCAUGUGACUAAGGCUUCAAUUAUUCAUCGUGGACAGUAACCCAGUGCAGUUUGAAGGUCCUUGUCAUUACAGGUGACCUAGUAAAUAUUUGACAACUAGCUCACCAGGAAAGAAAAAAAAAAAAAAGCUUUGAUUAUGGUGUUUGCAAAUUUCUUGGGGUAAAUAUCCCACUGUGGCUCAUUUCAGGCUACCACAGGACAUCACAGAACACAGAAUUAGAAGAAGGUAUGUAUUAUCAAACUAUAAUAUUUCUAUAAUACGGAUAUGAUCACCAUAACCACAAAAACAUGGAUAAUAGUAAAAUGAGGAAAUGAAUUUUGAUAUUUAUUAUUCUUAUAUAUUGGAUUUUAACAUAAUUGUUAGCUUACAUAGUUAAUUCUUCAUAAAGGCUGUGUUUAACAGCCUGCAAAAUUUCUAAAAAUGUUUAAAUGUACUCAUAAAGCAGUAUAAGCCAGCUCUAGCAUAUACUGCUUUCUGCACUCUUAGUUUUGGAAGUGACUUAGGCAAUAGCUAAUAUGAGUUGAAUCCUUCAUGCCUUUUUCAUAUUCCUCCAUGUAUAUGAUACCUUGUUAUGACUUUAUUACUUUUUAAAAUCUUCUGAGCCAGCUGUAAAUGUUUAAUUUGUCACUUGUAAAUAAACACAAACAAAAGGAACUCCAUAAACAAUGGGAAUAGAGACAUUUCCUCAAGGAAGAAAUAUAGACAGCAAAACAGCACAUGAAAAGAUGCUGAACAUCAUUAGUCACUAGGUAAAUGCAAAUUAAAAUAACAAUGAGCUAUACCACUACAUACCUAUUAGAAUGGCUGAUUAAAAAGACUGGUCAUAACAGGUCAGGGGGAAUUGGAAUUCUCAGUAUAUAACUAGUGAGAAUGUAAAAUGGUACAACCACUUGGAAAACAGCUUGGCAGUUUCUUAAAAAGGUAAAUGUAUACCUAUCAUAAUCCACCUAUUCCAUACCUACCUAUUUACCAAAAAGAAAACCUAUGUCCAUACAAACACUUAUACAAGAGUAUUUGUUAUAGACAAAAACUGGAAACAACCAGAAUGUCCACCGAUGGGUGAAUGGAUAUAGAAAUUGUGGCAUAUCCAUACAAAGAAUACUACUCAGUAGUAAAAAAACAAAAAACAAAAACUGUUGAGUGACACAACAUAGGUAAAUCUCAAAAUAAUUAUGCUGAGUGAAAAAAGUCACGGAGGGCAUGCUGUUUGAUUCUAUUUAAAUAAAAUUAUAGAAAAUGCCAACUAAUAAAUUUCAUAUAUAUAUAAAAAAAAAAAAAGAAAAUGCCAACUAAGCUAUAGGACAAAAUGAUCAUUGGCUUCAAGUGGGUACAAGGAAGAGGGGUUGGGUUGGGGGAACAGAAAGGGUUUACAAAGGACUACACAGACACUUGUAGUGAGGCAUAUGUUUAUUAUCUUGAUUUUGGUGAUUGUUUCAUGGGUGUAUACAUAUGUCAAAUUACCAAAUUGUGUACUUUAAAUAUAUGUGAUAUACUGUAUGUCAAUUAUAUUUCAAUAAAGCUAUAAGAAAUUUUUUUUAAUUUUUUUUAACAUUUAUUUAUUUUUGACAGCCAGAGACAGCUGUGAGCUGAGCGUGAGCAGGGG
rnacentral:lncRNA from 1 species